AACAAAAGUUCUUUUUUUGUUGUGUUCUUGAACAGUCCUUAAGGAAAGCUAGUUCAGAUCGAGCAUGCCUUGACAGCAGUAGGAUCGGGUCAAACAUCUCUUGGAAUCAAAGCUGCUAAUGGGGUGGUAAUUGCUACUGAGAAGAAAUUGCCUUCAAUCUUGGUUGAUGAAACCUCUGUUCAGAAAAUACAGUGUCUAACAGCAAAUAUUG